rnacentral:lncRNA from 1 species
AAGGUUUUUUUUUUGUCAGACCCAAGAAGACAAAGACCGAAUAGUGUCAAGCCUGGGAGACUGGAUUGCUGACUGUGGUGUGCCUGGAAUUUUCAGUGCAGCACCUAAUAUGAGACGGAUCUAUGGUCAGCUAAUCAAACACCACAUUUACUUCAGUUUGGAAAUCUCUUGGAACAUAUUUAUUUUAGAACAGCAGACAUGAUCGCCCAAUUCAAGGAAGGCAUGAACUCCUGUAGCAACUUCUGGCAGAUUGUCGAAAAAAACUGGAAGGUCUUCCUUCCCUUGUUCACAAAUGAGGAGAAACAAUUAACAAGAGAUGAAUUUAGAGCCCUAUUCACCAUUUGCUGGAGUGAGGAGGGAAGCAAUCUCAGGGAAAAGGAGGAAGACACCAUAUUUUGCUGGGAGCUCCUGCUGAAUUCAAUUCAGGAAAAACAAUCAACAAUCACCUUCCAGGAGAUGCUGGUAUUUAUUACUGGGGCAGACAGCAUUCCCACACUGGGCUUCCCCGGAGAACCGAGAAUUGAGUUUUACACUCAAGAAAAUCGCCGGCUUCCAUUUGCAUCAACUUGUGGCAUGGUGCUCUUUUUGCCUCGAGGCAUCCAAGAAGAGGAAGAGUUGACUGAUCUGCUUAACACAGCACUCAAAGGUUACCUUGGAUUUGGAAAAAUGUAAUUUAGUUAAUUUCGUCAAAUGUUAAUUAAAGGGAUAGUUGACCCUUAAAAUAAUUUUCUGUCAUUAAUUACUCACCCUCAUGUUGUUCCAAACCCACCCAUAAAAGUUUUGUGAACC